AACGAACGCUGGCGGCAUGCCUAACACAUGCAAGUCGAACGAGACCUUCGGGUCUAGUGGCGCACGGGUGCGUAACGCGUGGGAACCUGCCCUUAGGUUCGGAAUAACUCCCCGAAAGGGGUGCUAAUACCGGAUAAUGUCUUCGGACCAAAGAUUUAUGGCCUUUGGAUGGGCCCGCGUUGGAUUAGCUAGUUGGUAGGGUAAAAGCCUACCAAGGCGAGGAUGCAGAGCUGGUCUGAGAGGAUGAUCAGCCACACUGGGACUGAGACACGGCCCAGACUCCUACGGGAGGCAGCAGUGGGGAAUAUUGGACAAUGGGCGAAAGCCUGAUCCAGCAAUGCCGCGUGAGUGAUGAAGGCCGUAGGGUUGUAAAGCUCUUUUACCCGGGAUGAUAAUGACAGUACCGGGAGAAUAAGCUCCGGCUAACUACGUG
rnacentral:rRNA from 1 species